rnacentral:rRNA from 1 species
AACGAACGCUGGCGGCAUGCCUAACACAUGCCAGUCGAACGAGACCUUCGGGUCUAGUGGCGCACGGGUGCGUAACGCGUGGUAACCUGCCCUUAGGUUCGGAAUAACUCCCCGAAAGGGGUGCUAAUACCGGUUAAUGUCUUCGGACCAAAGAUUUAUCGCCUUUGGAUGGGCCCGCGUUGGAUUAGCUAGUUGGUAGGGUAAAAGCCUACCAAGGCGACGAUCCAUAGCUGGUCUGAGAGGAUGACCAGCCACACUGGGACUGAGACACGGCCCAGACUCCUACGGGAGGCAGCAGUGGGGAAUAUUGGACAAUGGGCGAAAGCCUGAUCAAGCAAUGCCGCGUGAGUGAUGAAGGCCUUAGGGUUGUAAAGCUCUUUUACCCGGGAUGAUAAUGACAGUACCGGGAGAAUAAGGUCCGGCUAACUCCGUG